rnacentral:lncRNA from 1 species
GUUAGGCACCGAAGUUGAAUAUUGCACCAAAAGUAGCUUAAUAGUCAAUAAAGAGAGUCGAACAAGGAAGUUAGUCGUUCACAUAUCACAUAACCAAGCUGCACUUGCAAUUUUCACAAUCCUCUCUUCUAAAAUUUGGUCAUUCCCUCUCCGGCCAUGGCAGCAGAAUUUGUUGGUGGUGCUCUUCUUUCUUCUUUCCUUCAGGUUGUUUUUGACAGGCUGGUUUCUCGUCAGGUUUUGGAAUACUUUCGUGGAAGAAAACUCGAUGAGAAGCUACUGAACAAGUUGAAGGUGAAGCUACGGUCCAUUGAUGCUCUGGCUGAUGAUGCAGAACAAAAGCAGUUCAGGGAUCCAAGGGUGAGAGAGUGGCUUGUUGCUGUCAAAGAUGCUGAUAUUCCUAUAAAUAGAAUGAAUGCAACGAAGAAAGGUAGAGAAAAAUUAUGAAUCACCUUUUAGUGUAGUUAGCAUAGUAUAGCUUAGUCCUCUAUUCGUAGCAGAUGCUAUGUUUGAUGCAGAGGAUCUGUUGGAUGAAAUAGACUAUGAAAUCAACAAAUGGGCUGUGGAGAAUGAUUCUGAAUCUCAAACCUGUACCUGCAAGGAAUCGAGUUUCUUCGAAACAUCUUUCAGUUCAUUUAACAUGAAAAUUGAAUCAAGGAUGAAACAAGUCCUUGCUGACCUUGAAUUUCUCUCAAGCCAAAAGGGUGAUCUUGGUUUGAAAGAGGCUAGUGGUCUUGGGGUUGGAUCAGGUAGUAAAGUGUCACAGAAAUUGCCAUCAAUAUCUUUGGUGACUGAAAGUGUCAUUUAUGGAAGAGAUAAUGACAGAAAUUAUCCUUAAUUUGAUGACAACUGACACUUACAAUCGAAGCCAGCUAUCAACACUUUCAAUCAUGGGUAUGGGCGGGAUGGUUAAGACUACACAGCCUGUAUAAUGAAUGACUCUGGUUUAUGGCUAUGUUGUUGAUAGGACAAAUCAGAAAGUUUGAAUUGAAUGUGUGCGUUCCAAAUGCAUUUCAGUUUUACACUACCAAAUCAAUCUCAACUAGCUAGGAACCAUUCUUGUUAAAAGAAAUAACUCAAACUAUUUUUGUUAAAAACAAUUAUGGCUCAGAAUUACCUUUGAGGUUGCAAAUAUAAAAAUGACUGAAUAAUGGACAGAUUGAACACAGUCCCCGUAGAAAUAAAGAAAUAGACUGAUUACA